GUUGUAUAGUCAAGUAAUUAAGUGCAUGUGGUGGAUGCCUUGGCAGUCAGAGGCGAUGAAAGACGUGAUAGCCUGCGAAAAGCUCCGGGGAGGCGGCAAAUAUCCUUUGAUCCGGAGAUGUCUGAAUGGGGGAACCCACCUACUUUAAGGUAGGUAUUGCAACAUGAAUACAUAGUGUUGCAAGGCGAACGAGGGGAAGUGAAACAUCUCAGUACCCUUAGGAAAAAGAAAUCAAUUGAGAUUCCCUCAGUAGCGGCGAGCGAACGGGGAUCAGCCCAUUAAGUUAUGUGUGUUUUAGUGGAACGCUCUGGGAAGUGCGAACGUAGAGGGUGAUAUUCCCGUACACGAAAGGGCACACAUAAUGAUGACGAGUAGGGCGAGGCACGUGAAACCUUGUCUGAAUAUGGGGGGACCAUCCUCCAAGGCUAAAUACUCCUGACUGACCGAUAGUGAACCAGUACCGUGAGGGAAAGGCGAAAAGAACCCCUGUGAGGGGAGUGAAAUAGAUCCUGAAACCGCAUGCAUACAAGCAGUGGGAGCACCUUCGUGGUGUGACUGCGUACCUUUUGUAUAAUGGGUCAGCGACUUAUAUUCAGUAGCGAGGUUAACCGUAUAGGGGAGCCGUAGAGAAAUCGAGUCUUAAUAGGGCGUUUAGUUGCUGGGUAUAGACCCGAAACCAGGCGAUCUAUCCAUGAGCAGGUUGAAGGUUGGGUAACACUAACUGGAGGACCGAACCCACUGUCGUUGAAAAGCCAGGGGAUGACUUGUGGAUAGGGGUGAAAGGCUAAUCAAGCCUGGUGAUAGCUGGUUCUCCCCGAAAGCUAUUUAGGUAGCGCCUCGGACGAAUACCAUAGGGGGGUAGAGCACUGUUUCGGCUAGGGGGUCAUCCCGACUUACCAAACCGAUGCAAACUCCGAAUACCUAUGAGUACUAUCCGGGAGACAGACUGCGGGUGCUAACGUCCGUAGUCAAGAGGAAAACAAUCCAGACCGCCAGCUAAGGCCCCAAAAUCAUAGUUAAGUGGGAAACGAUGUGGGAAGGCAUAGACAGCUAGGAGGUUGGCUUAGAAGCAGCCACCCUUUAAAGAAAGCGUAAUAGCUCACUAGUCGAGUCGGCCUGCGCGGAAGAUGUAACGGGGCUAAAACUAUGUGCCGAAGCUGCGGAUGUAUACUUUGUAUACGUGGUAGGGGAGCGUUCUGUAAGCCGAUGAAGGUGUGUUGAGAAGCAUGCUGGAGGUAUCAGAAGUGCGAAUGCUGACGUGAGUAACGACAAAACGGGUGAAAAACCCGUUCGCCGAAAGACCAAGGGUUCCAGUCCAACGUUAAUCGGGGCUGGGUGAGUCGACCCCUAAGGCGAGGCCGAAAGGCGUAGUCGAUGGGAAAAUGGUUAAUAUUCCAUUACUUCUGUGUAAUGCGAUGAGAGGACGGAGAAGGCUAAAUCAGCCUGGCGUUGGUUGUCCAGGUGAAAGGAUGUAGGCAUGUAUCUUAGGCAAAUCCGGGGUACUCUAUGCUGAGAUCUGAUAGCAAGCUGUACUUGUACAGCGAAGUGGUUGAUGCCAUGCUUCCAGGAAAAGUCUCUAAGCUUCAGUUACACAGGAAUCGUACCCGAAACCGACACAGGUGGUCAGGUCGAGUAGACCAAGGCGCUUGAGAGAACUCUGCUGAAGGAACUAGGCAAAAUGGUACCGUAACUUCGGGAGAAGGUACGCUGUUGUUGGUGAUGGAACUCGCUUCCUGAGCUGACGACAGCCGCAGAAACCAGGCCGCUGCAACUGUUUAUUAAAAACAUAGCACUCUGCAAACACGAAAGUGGACGUAUAGGGUGUGAUGCCUGCCCGGUGCUGGAAGGUUAAUUGAUGGGGUUAGCGUAAGCGAAGCUCUUGAUCGAAGCCCCAGUAAACGGCGGCCGUAACUAUAACGGUCCUAAGGUAGCGAAAUUCCUUGUCGGGUAAGUUCCGACCUGCACGAAUGGCAUAAUGAUGGCGGCGCUGUCUCCAGCAGAGGCUCAGUGAAAUCGAAAUCGCUGUGAAGAUGCAGUGUACCCGCGGCUAGACGGAAAGACCCCGUGAACCUUUACUGCAGCUUGACACUGAACUUUGACCUUACUUGUGUAGGAUAGGUGGGAGGCUUUGAAGCUGGAACGCUAGUUCCAGUGGAGCCGUCCUUGAAAUACCACCCUGGUAAUGUUGAGGUUCUAACUCUGUCCCGUGAUCCGGGACGAGGACCGUGUCUGGUGGGUAGUUUGACUGGGGCGGUCUCCUCCUAAAGAGUAACGGAGGAGUACGAAGGUGCGCUCAGCGUGGUCGGAAAUCACGCGUAGAGUAUAAAGGCAAAAGCGCGCUUAACUGCGAGACCCACAAGUCGAGCAGGUACGAAAAGUAGGUCUUAGUGAUCCGGUGGUUCUGUAUGGAAGGGCCAUCGCUCAACGGAUAAAAGGUACUCUGGGGAUAACAGGCUGAUACCGCCCAAGAGUUCAUAUCGACGGCGGUGUUUGGCACCUCGAUGUCGGCUCAUCUCAUCCUGGGGCUGAAGCAGGUCCCAAGGGUAUGGCUGUUCGCCAUUUAAAGAGGUACGCGAGCUGGGUUUAGAACGUCGUGAGACAGUUCGGUCCCUAUCUACCGUGGGCGCUGGAAAUUUGAGAGGAUCUGCUCCUAGUACGAGAGGACCAGAGUGGACGAACCUCUGGUGUACCGGUUGUGACGCCAGUCGCAUCGCCGGGUAGCUAUGUUCGGAAGGGAUAACCGCUGAAAGCAUCUAAGCGGGAAGCCUACCUCAAGAUAAGAUUUCCCUAGGACUUUAUGUCCUCUAAAGAGCCGUUCGAGACUAGGACGUUGAUAGGUUGGAUGUGGAAGCAUAGUGAUAUGUGAAGCUGACCAAUACUAAUUGCUCGUGAGGCUUGACUAUACAACACCCAAGCAGUUG
rnacentral:rRNA from 1 species